GAUGUGGCUUGAAGAGAAGGGACAUGAUAAAAUACAGCUAGUAAAGCAAUAACCCUUGAGCAAGAGGCCUUGGGCAAGGCCACAGUAUCCUUGAGCAAGAAGUUAUACGAUAACAGGAUGCAGAAGCAGAAACUAGCUAGGGUGGAGAAAAUCACAGGCAUCCUGAGUAUGUGGCAACAAAGGCGGAGCUGACCUUUUAUAGCGAACCAAUAAUGAGCUUUAUUUUUGCAAUAUGUAUGAGCCUUAUUAUUAUUGUUAUAAGAGCACACAUGUUAAAUCAAUAAACCGAGACUUGUUGAUCAUCAUCAGAUGUGCUUGUCUACUGUCGACUCCGUCAAAUGGUGACCUCGACGUGAUCCUUGCCAGACACCACAGACGAGCGACGACCGGGUCGGGUCCCGAAGCAGCUGGGACGGCAAAAAAGCACGAAAAAGAGGAGUUAAGACGUGCCGUGCGAGCCUGGCCAAUAUGUGCUGCCAAGACCUUGAGGGGCUGCAACAGCGCUGACGAAUUAGGAGUUGUGUGGGUACCUGCAAAGUGGACUAAACCUGUUCUUAAUGCAGUGGUUGGUGGGCAAUCUGACAGAAGUGGACAAGAAGCGACUAGAGGAGAAGCUGCCAGUGAUCCUACAGCCACUACUGAUACAGCUGAAGGGACACUCAAAGGCAAUCGACAGGGCUGUGAUACGCUGCCAGACUACUAAGGAACUGACUGAAACUAUUGAAUCACUGUCAUCUUUUUACAUAAGGGGCCCAGCGGGCCAGAACUGUCUUGAUUGUAAUUGUUCAUGUUGUGCUGCUUGGGUGGCAUUGUAUUGUGGGGGCUGAGGUAAGAGAUAUUGGAUAGAACAGUCUUUAGUUCGCCAAUUGUGGUGUAACAGGUGUUCAUAUGAGCAUCAUUUUGAAAAUUGGCAGAGAGAGCUGAGGGAACAAACAGGAUUGGACAUAGGUUCGGCUUUAAAUCUUUUUGAAGUGCCUGAACAGAAGAUUUUGGCUUAUUAUUGGUGGGAAUUAUAUCAUAUUGUAAAAAGGGUUAAAGCUCAAAGUAGGUCCUAUAUUGCUUCUGCAAGGUGUAGGAAGUUGGUGCCCUUAACACAGCAUUCUGUAGUAGGGCCCAUUAAAGGGGAUCCUGAUGAAGAAUUGGAUCAAUGCUUAAGAAAUCUACAGGAUCUAAAAUUACAAUGGUUAGGGACGCCGAAGGUUAAAAGGAAAAAGAAGAAAAAUAAGAGAGAAAAAUGAAGCUUGUUUUUGUUGUGUUGCUUAGUGCAGUGAUAGCUGGGGUAAUAGGAGUAACGCGCUUUAAUCAGCCAAGAGACAAUAUAUGGAUAACGCUUGCUAAUCAAACUAAUCAAUCAUCGCUUUGUCUUAGCUUAGGAGGAGUUACUAACCCCUUUCGAACGUGCUUGGUGGACCUGCCUGUGUGGUCCCCCAAGGAGUUUUGUGGUCUGAUAAUCAAACCUUGUGCAAAAACCUUUUGAUGGUUACAGACCCUACAGACCCUACACAAGCUGGCGCUCUUGAUGAUGGUUACCGUCAAUGUCAAAUAAUUUUGUCACGUAAUACCACCUUGCACUCUCCUCCUGAGGAGUUGGAUCUUUUUGGAAGUGGAAAUGCCAGUAUGACUAACACCUCAAAGGGCAAUUGGAUCAGUUUUGAGCCCUUAGACUCCCAGGAUCUUAAUCAGAAUAGAGGGAAAUGAGCUACCCUAGAUUCAUCCCUGGAGUCAGGUACAGUGCAUGAGCAGCUUUAUAGCCGAUGCAACGGCAGUAACAUCACGGCCCCGAAGAAAUUACCCACAGGGAUAUUUUUAAUUUGUGCAGACAGAGCUUGGAAUGGUAUACCAGCCAAGCCACAGGGAGGACCUUGCUAUUUGGGAAAAUUGUCAUUGUUUCACCCCAGUGUGUCUCUAUUGAUGCAAUUGAGCCGAAAUUCAAGCAGGCAGAGACGCAGCUUGCACGACCUAAAUUGCAAUCAGAUAAGAAUCCCACAGUUUUGGAGUGAGUUAAAACAAGUGAUAAUUUCAACUAUCUUGCCAGGAGGAGCUGCAAAUAAAGCUAUGAACUUAGCAAAGCAAUUGGGGUGUUGGGCCAAGGGUGAGUUGAAUAAGACAUCAGAAAUUCUAGAUAUGCUAACUGCAGAUGUGCUAAGUGUUAAUCAUGCUGUUUUACAAAAUAGGGCCACUAUAGAUUUUUUGCUUUUAGCACAUGGGCAUGGAUGUGAAGAAUUUGAAGGUAUGUGUUGCAUGAAUUUGUCCGAUCACUCUGUAUCAAUUCAUGCUAAAAUAAAAGAAUUACAACAGGGACUUCACAGUCUCAAAGAAGAGGAAGGACUAGGAAUUGACGAAUGGCUUAAAAGCCUGGGACUUGGACCAUGGCUAAGGAGCCUUGUAACAUAUGCCAUAGGGAUACUGGGCGUGAUUUUGAUGCUUUUGCUUAUUUUGCCUUGUAUUUUUAAUUGCAUUCAGAAUAUGGUCAGUCGAAUGAUAGAAAAAACCUGGCAGACAAAUCUUCUUGCUCAAAAAGAAAACGGGGGAAGUGUGGAGAGUUUUGUGGAGAUGUGACUUGAAGAGAAGGGACAUGAUAAAAUACAGCUAGUAAAGCAAUAACCCUUGAGCAAGAGGCCUUGGGCAAGGCCACAGUAUCCUUGAGCAAGAAGUUAUACGAUAACAGGAUGCAGAAGCAGAAACUAGCUAGGGUGGAGAAAAUCACAGGCAUCCUGAGUAUGUGGCAACAAAGGCGGAGCUGACCUUUUAUAGCGAACCAAUAAUGAGCUUUAUUUUUGCAAUAUGUAUGAGCCUUAUUAUUAUUGUUAUAAGAGCACACAUGUUAAAUCAAUAAACCGAGACUUGUUGAUCAUCAUCAGAUGUGCUUGUCUCCCAUUGACUCCGUCAAGUAACAACAUACUCUGCCACUGUUACCUAUAAUGACUGUGUUGCUUUUGUACUUGAAGACAAAGGAAUGCGCUGCUUGAGAAGAAAAGGGUAGAAUUCACCUUUGUGAAGAUGUCACUGAAAUGUAAAGAUAGCCUAGUUUCUUUAUAUGUGAGAUCAUGUAGUACAUGAAAUCACUAGGUUAUCCUGGGUUUGUUUUUUUAACAAAGAUGAAAGCUGAUUUUAGAAGUACCUUGCUAACACCUGUAUAUUUUCUUUAACAUUUUCUUGAAGCAGCAUUAUUUACUGCAAAACCACUUUUGUCCAUAUGCUUCUCUAGUGAAUCUUUUAUUAUAAGUCAUAUACCCCUUUAGCUAUGUUAUCCUUCUAUAAUGUUUUGCUAUUUUAUGAUGUCUGUUCCUAACCUUAUUGUGUUGCUAUUACACAGUUACAGUUAUUACAGUUCCAAAGGUGCAAUAGGGAAUCAGCUUGGGGGAGAUUUGAAUUCUACGGCCCUGCACUGGGCCAUUAGGUAAUGCUGCUUGCAACUCCUAACUGCAAAUCAGUCGGUAUUUACAGCUGUGGCAGUUUCCUGAGUUCCAGAGAACAAAGCACUCCUUGUCUGGAAAAAAUAUAACCUGAAAAAAUUAUUCUGGAAAAACAUCUCCAUUUGCAAAUGGGAAGAUCCGUGCUUUCUUCUGGACUAUCAGUCUUUUGCCAGAGUCAGAGACUUGGAUGACUGCUCACAGGAGAAGUUACUGUAGAAUAACCACCAUAGUCAAAAUUAAUGCUUUGCCCUAGGCUUGUUUAUUAAGGUGUAUCUAUUUAAUAUAAUUUCCUAAAUAAAGCCACAAGAACCUGAAAGAAAA